rnacentral:rRNA from 1 species
GACGAACGCUGGCGGCGUGCUUAACACAUGCAAGUCGAACGGAAAGGCCCAGCUUGCUGGGUGCUCGAGUGGCGAACGGGUGAGUAACACGUGGGUGAUCUGCCUCUAACUUCGGGAUAAGCUUGGGAAACUGGGUCUAAUACCGGAUAGGACAAUCGUUUAGUGUCGGUUGUGGAAAGUUUUUUCGGUUAGAGGUGAGCCCGCGGCCUAUCAGCUUGUUGGUGGGGUAAUGGCCUACCAAGGCGUCGACGGGUAGCCGGCCUGAGAGGGUGGACGGCCACAUUGGGACUGAGAUACGGCCCAGACUCCUACGGGAGGCAGCAGUGGGGAAUAUUGCACAAUGGGCGCAAGCCUGAUGCAGCGACGCCGCGUGGGGGAUGACGGCCUUCGGGUUGUAAACCUCUUUCGACAGGGACGAAGCUUUGGUGACGGUACCUGUAUAAGAAGCACCGGCUAACUACGUG